rnacentral:rRNA from 1 species
AACGAGCGCUGGCGGCAUGCCUAACACAUGCAAGUCGAACGAGACCUUCGGGUCUAGUGGCGCACGGGUGCGUAACGCGUGGGAACCUGCCCUUAGGUUCGGAAUAACUCCCCGAAAGGGGUGCUAAUACCGGAUAAUGUCUUCGGACCAAAGAUUUAUCGCCUUUGGAUGGGCCCGCGUUGGAUUAGCUAGUUGGUAGGGUAAAAGCCUACCAAGGCGACGAUCCAUAGCUGGUCUGAGAGGAUGAUCAGCCACACUGGGACUGAGACACGGCCCAGACUCCUACGGGAGGCAGCAGUGGGGAAUAUUGGACAAUGGGCGAAAGCCUGAUCCAGCAAUGCCGCGUGAGUGAUGAAGGCCUUAGGGUUGUAAAGCUCUUUUACCCGGGAUGAUAAUGACAGUACCGGAAGAAUAAGCUCCGGCUAACUCCGUG